rnacentral:rRNA from 1 species
UACGUAGGGGCCGAGCGUUGUCCGGAAUUACUGGGCGUGAAGCGCGCGCAGGCGGCUGUCCGCGCCCGGCGUGAAAGCCCCCGGCUCAACCGGGGAGAGUCGUCGGGGACGGGACAGCUUGAGGGCGGGAGGGGUUGGUGGAAUUCCCGGUGUAGUGGUGAAAUGCGUAGAGAUCGGGAGGAACACCUGUGGCGAAGGCGGCCAACUGGCCCGACCCUGACGCUGAGGCGCGAAGGCGUGGGGAGCGAACAGG